CAUCAUCUCGGAGAAGUUCUCCAGCUCGGAGAAGUCCUCGCGGGUGAUGGACGCCAGCGGGACGGCGGCGGCGUCGGCAGGCCGAGGAGGAGGAGGAGGAGGAGGAGGAGGAGG